rnacentral:lncRNA from 1 species
AUAUUUCUCUAAUUCUUCGUCAAUUUAUCCUUUUCUGCACCCAUUGUAUAAAAAAAAUUUAAUCAACGUGUGGUUCCUUUGAUCUCAGUACCUCAUUGGUUAAAAUCCGAUUAUGACGUCGAAUUUUCUUGCUUUCCUCUGAAUUUCCUAUUGUGACGGGAUGAAAAAAGGCGACCAUGCCUGAUGACGUCACAUAGAAAGAACACAUCUUUUUGCAGAUCAUUCGAAAAGAAGGAAUAAGUUUGCCUACAUAAUGUUAGAAAAUCAUUAGAGAAACAGAUUUCACCACCAA